UACGUAGGGUGCGAGCGUUGUCCGGAAUUAUUGGGCGUAAAGAGCUCGUAGGCGGUCUGUCGCGUCUGCUGUGAAAACCCGAGGCUCAACCUCGGGCCUGCAGUGGGUACGGGCAGACUAGAGUGUGGUAGGGGAGACUGGAAUUCCUGGUGUAGCGGUGAAAUGCGCAGAUAUCAGGAGGAACACCGAUGGCGAAGGCAGGUCUCUGGGCCACUACUGACGCUGAGAAACGAAAGCAUGGGGAGCGAACAGG
rnacentral:rRNA from 1 species